UAGGGAAUAUUGGACAAUGGGGGCAACCCUGAUCCAGCCAUGCCGCGUGAGUGAAGAAGUCCCUCGGGUUGUAAAGCUCUUUUGUCCGGAAAGAAAAGCAUUCGGUGAAUACCCGGAUGUUCUGACGGUACCGGAAGAAUAAGCACCGGCUAACCUCGUGCCAGCAGCCGCGGUAAUACGAAGGGUGCAAGCGUUACUCGGAAUUACUGGGCGUAAAGCGUGCGUAGGUGGUUGUUUAAGUCUGAUGUGAAAGCCCUGGGCUCAACCUGGGAAUUGCAUUGGAAACUGGGCAGCUAGAGUGCGGUAGAGNGUAGUGGAAUUCCCGGUGUAGCAGUGAAAUGCGUAGAGAUCGGGAGGAACAUCUGUGGCGAAGGCGACUGCCUGGACCAGCACUGACACUGAGGCACGAAAGCGUGGGGAGCAAACA
rnacentral:rRNA from 1 species